rnacentral:rRNA from 1 species
GACGUAGGGCGCGAGCGUUGUCCGGAUUUAUUGGGCGUAAAGAGCUCGUAGGCGGUUUGUCGCGUCUGCCGUGAAAACCCGAGGCUUAACCUCGGGCUGGCGGUGGAUACGGGCAGACUAGAGGUAGGUAGGGGAGAAUGGAAUUCCCGGUGUAGCGGUGAAAUGCGCAGAUAUCAGGAGGAACACCGGUGGCGAAGGCGGGUCUCUGGGCAGUUACUGACGCUGAGGAGCGAAAGCGUGGGGAGCGAACAGG